GCCGUUUUGGGCGGAAGCUAAAAAGGAAUAAGUGCAGGUGCUGCGCCAGGUAACACUUCCCACUCACCUGUGUGCAGACGGGGCGGAGGAGGAAAUGCUUCUGGCUUCCUCAGGGAGGGCUGUUUGCUCGAUAUUUCCCAAAUAGGUGUCGGUGUAGGCGCUGGUGGGAGACUGCUGAUUGAAAUUCAAGCCUUCCUGGUUCUGUAGAAAUGAUGGACAAAACAGUAUGAACUCAAAGACCAUCCAUCAUGGCUGCCAGGAAUGAAAGUGCUGUACACAACAACUACAAAGGGGUGAUCGAUAAGUUCAUGGCCUAAG